rnacentral:rRNA from 1 species
GAAUUGACGGGGCCCCGCACAAGCAGCGGAGCAUGCGGCUUAAUUCGACGCAACGCGAAGAACCUUACCAAGGCUUGACAUAUACAGGAAUAUGGCAGAGAUGUCAUAGCCGCAAGGUCUGUAUACAGGUGGUGCAUGGUUGUCGUCAGCUCGUGUCGUGAGAUGUUGGGUUAAGUCCCGCAACGAGCGCAACCCUCGUUCUGUGUUGCCAGCAUUUAGUUGGGGACUCACAGGAGACUGCCGGGGUUAACUCGGAGGAAGGUGGGGAUGACGUCAAAUCAUCAUGCCCCUUAUGUCUUGGGCUGCACGCAUGCUACAAUGGCUGGUACAAACGGCUGCGAUACCGCAAGGUGGAGCGAAUCCGAUAAAGCCAGUCUCAGUUCGGAUUGGGUGCUGCAACUCGACCCCAUGAAGUCGGAGUUGCUAGUAAUCGUAGAUCAGCAACGCUACGGUGAAUACGCUCCCGGGGCUUGUACACACCGCCCGUCACAUCACGAAAGUCGGUAACAC